CGUAUAUUAAAGUUGUUGCAGUUAAAAAGCUCGUAGUUGGAUUUGUGGUUGUGUUCAGGAGCCAUUUUUGGAUUCCUUGAACACGACCAUCUUUGGGAGGAAUUUGUGUGGCAUUAGCUUGUUGCACGGGGGAUACUCAACGUUUACUGUGAAAAAAUCAGCGCGUUCAAAGCAAGCUUAUGCUGUGAAUGUAUUAGCAUGGAAUAAUAAGAUAGGACCUUGGUACUAUUUUGUUGGUUUGUGCACCGAGGUAAUGAUUAAUAGGGACAGUUGGGGG
rnacentral:rRNA from 1 species